AAAAAUUGGAAUCGAAAAGUCGUGCUGCGCGUGGUGCACAUUUUUGCAUAUCUUGUGAAUAAUAUUGUGUUUUUUGGAUUUCCUCGGGUAAAAAAGACCUGGGUACCACCCACGACGCCAACAGUGGUUACGCCAAGGACAGCAUCCCCUGCCCCGAGAAGAUAUCCGAUUGCGCUAAAAUUUUGCCGAGAUAUGUACGUUAGAUGACAAUGCAAUAUUUUGGUGGCAGUGAGCUGAUCUGAUGAAUGAAGGAAGGUGAUCACUGGAACUUGAUGAAGGAACAACGUAAACUUAUUGAAUUUGGGUUCAUCUGUUUGUCUUGACGAGCAUUUUUAUAAAAGCAUGCUUUAAAAAUAUAUUUUUU